ACCCGCGUACAUGCCACCGGGGCAUCCCGGAGGCAGGAAAGGCUUCGGCCGGACAGGGAUGGGCAUGCGGCGCAUUAGGCAGUAGGCGGGGUAACGGCCCACCUAACCGACGAUGCGUAGGGGUUCUGAGAGGAAGGUCCCCCACACUGGUACUGAGACACGGACCAGACUCCUACGGGAGGCAGCAGUGAGGAAUAUUGGUCAAUGGUCGGGAGACUGAACCAGCCAAGCCGCGUGAGGGAUGAAGGUACAGAGUAUCGUAAACCUCUUUUGUCAGGGAACAAAGGCGGGGACGUGUCCCCGGAUGAGUGUACCUGAAGAAAAAGCAUCGGCUAACUCCGUGCCAGCAGCCGCGGUAAUACGGAGGAUGCGAGCGUUAUCCGGAUUUAUUGGGUUUAAAGGGUGCGCAGGCGGUCUGUUAAGUCAGCGGUCAAAGCCCGGGGCUCAACCCCGGCCCGCCGUUGAAACUGGCAGUCUCGAGUUGGAGAGAAGUAUGCGGAAUGCGCGGUGUAGCGGUGAAAUGCAUAGAUAUCGCGCAGAACUCCGAUUGCGAAGGCAGCAUGCCGGCUCCACACUGACGCUGAGGCACGAAAGCGUGGGUAUCGAACAGAAGUAGAUACCCUGGUAGUCCACGCGGUAAACGAU
rnacentral:rRNA from 1 species